AUGCACAAAUCAUUGUCCUGCUCUUCCCAUUAUUGAGAGUAGUGAUAUUUCUGUUGUGCUAGAAAAAUCUGGAGGUAAAUUAGCAGAGUGGCGACUUGGUGCCACCUCUGCCAGUCCCCUUCAUACAGUC
ensembl:snoRNA